rnacentral:rRNA from 1 species
AGUGAACGCUGGCGGUAGGCCUAACACAUGCAAGUCGAACGGCAGCACAGUAAGAGCUUGCUCUUACGGGUGGCGAGUGGCGGACGGGUGAGGAAUACAUCGGAAUCUUCUUGUUCGUGGGGGAUAACGUAGGGAAACUUACGCUAAUACCGCAUACGUCCUACGGGUGAAAGCAGGGGAUCUUCGGGCCUUGCGCGAUUGAAUGAGCCGAUGUCGGAUUAGCUAGUUGGCGGGGUAAAGGCCCACCAAGGCGACGAUCCGUAGCUGGUCUGAGAGGAUGAUCAGCCACACUGGAACUGAGACACGGUCCAGACUCCUACGGGAGGCAGCAGUGGGGAAUAUUGGACAAUGGGCGCAAGCCUGAUCCAGCCAUACCGCGUGGGUGAAGAAGGCCUUCGGGUUGUAAAGCCCUUUUGUUGGGAAAGAAAAGCAGCAGGUUAAUACCCCGCUGUUCUGACGGUACCCAAAGAAUAAGCACCGGCUAACUUCGUG